UUAAAUGGAAUCUAAUCUAAACGACAGAAUUGGCACAACAAUCACCUUCUCAAAAUCCAUUGUCCUUGAAAUCACAUUGAGCAUCAGCAUCUAAAGGUUCAUUCUUAGCUAGCUAAUUGAGUUGAGGCAGCUGCUAAGAACUUCUUCGCGCAAUAGCUGACUCCAUUCGAAGUUGGGCUUCACAUAAUCUGCAUCUGAAGGUAUCUGGAAGUGUGGUGCUUAACAAUCUUCAAAUUCUGCAGUAGUACAUCUGUAACAUCUCACAGGCCAAAGACACAUAGGUUUGGUGCGCCCAGUAAAAGACCCACCCAAGGUAAUUGAAGCUGGAAUUCAAAUUCAAAUUCAAAUUUACUGUCUGUAAUUUGUGACCAAGUGUUAAUAUUUAAAAAUACAACAACAACUAGCACAAUCCGCAUGACCAAAAAGAAGCCAACAAAAGGAAGACACAUGUCCAAAUUUUUGAAAUUCAAAAAUUGGCGGGAAAAUUCGUACAGGUAGUAACAUUUGACUUUGACCAUUCUUUUAAUAAUAAUAACCUUACUUUACUCUUUUUCUUCUCUGGUUGUCUUUGUUUUGCAGGAGAGAUAGAUAGAUAGAAUAGAUGAAGCUCAUGGAAACUCUGAUUAUUUUGAAUCUUAGGGGUUGCUGCUGGAGAGGAAGGAACUUGGAAGCCAUGAUAUAGCAAACCCCCCUUAGAUCUAGCUACUUUCAGAUUUUGAAAAAAGGCACUUCACCUAUCAAAAAAAAAAUGGCACUUAGUUCACAAUUGGGUGCUGAUGUUAACCAUUAAGCACAUGGUAGACCACCACUCAGUUUUAUCGAAUUAAUAGGUGCACUGCUCAGUUUCGGAAACUGAACGGUGCAACGGCAGGCCACCAUUUCGUUCCGUAGAAUGAGUGUGCACUGCUCAGUCCCGGGUACUGAGCGGUGCAAUGGCAGGUCACCGUCAGUUCCUAAAACUGAGAGGUGCAAAGCUAUGUGUCUAAUGGAGAACGUCACACUUAAUGGAAGUGAGCAGCUUCCGGACAAAUGAAACUAUUGGAAAACAGGUAAAUGAGCUUCUCUUUUCCUCCUUUUUUUUGUUUUUGUUUUUUUUAUUUGUCGUUUUUCUUUCGUAUUUUAUUGAAAUCACUGUUGGAAGUCUGGUACACAGCAAGGCAGUGAUACUCCCCAUGUAGUUCAGCUACAGCUGCUGAAACAUAGCUAAGUCUGAUUCUUGGGUAACGUUUCAACGUAAAUAGCCAUGUUUAGCUUUUGUUAUAUUGCUGACUUUGGUACUCUGCUAGUAUAUUUAGGUGCACAUUCUUAACACUCUCAAUGUAUACUUAAAUUGCCCUUAUAUUUGUAGAAUCCCUGAGUGUCUUUUUUGCUUGGUACAUGUCUAUCAUUUUUGUUCAAGGUUUCUGCCCCUUCUUCCGAUGAGUGUCAGGUCGGUACAUUUUUGCCUUAACAAAGAUAUUUGUUACUAACUUGUGUGUUGCUUUUGUUUUUUGCAGGUCUUGCCUUUGCAUUCCUAACUCUAACUCUAUGUUUAUUAACACUUACAAUCAUGUUUAUUAUGUUUUGCAUAAAAUUGUUUCUAACUUGAUCAUUGGAGUAUCUGUUUUUUUUUUGCAGGUCUCGCAUUUGUAUUCCUAACUCUAACUCCAUGUUUAUUAACCCUAACUCUACUUUUAUUAUGUUUUGCAUAAAAUUGUUUCUACCUUGAGCGUUGGAGUAUCUUUAUAGAUUUUUGCAGGUCUUGGCUUUGUACUCCUAACUCUUAACUCUACGUUUAUUAUGUUUUGCAUAAAAUUGUUUCUAACAUGAGCCUUGGAGUAUCUUUAUUGUUUUUUGCAGGUCUUGGCUUUGUAUUCCUAACUCUAACUCUAUAUUUAUUAUGUUUUGCAUAAAAUUGUUUCUAACUUUAGUGUUGGAUUAUCUUUAUUGUUUUUUUUGCAGGUCUUGGCUUUGUAUUCCUAACUCUAACUCUAUAUUUAUUACGUUUUGCAUAAAAAUGUUUCUAACUUGAGUGUUAGAGUAUCUUUAUUGUUUAAUGCAGGUCUUGGUUUUGUAUUCCUAACUCUAACUCUAACUUUAAUGCAGGUCUUGGUUUUGUUUCUAACUUGAGUGUUGGAGUAUCUUUAUUGUUUUUUGCAGGUCUUGGUUUUGUAUUCCUAACUCUAACUCUACGUUUAUUAUGUUUUGCAUAAAAUUGUUUCUAACUUGAGUGUUGGAGUAUCUUUGUUGUUUUUUGCAGGUCUUGGCUUUGUAUUCCUAACUCUAACUCUACGUUUAUUAUGUUUUGCAUGAAAUUGUUUCUGACUUGAGCCUUGGAGUAUCUUUGUUGUUUUUUGCAGGUCUUGGCUUUGUAUUCCUAAUUCUAACUCUAUGUUAAUUAACCCUUAACUCUAUGUUUAUUAUGUUUAUCUUUGUUGUUUUUUGCAGGUCUUGGCUUUGUAUUCCUAAUUCUAACUCUAUGUUAAUUAACCCUUAACUCUAGUUUAUUAUGUUUUGCAUAAAAUUGUUUCUAACUUGAGCGUCGGAGUAUCUUCCUUGUUUUUUUGCAGGUCUUGCCUUUGUAUUCUUAUGGCCAAUUCAAUUAGUAGAGUUGUUGAAACGGAAUGCUGGUGCCUCGCGGGGAACGUCAUCUGUUUGGCCUUUGAUCAGUUUGCCUCUAGGGCAUGUCUGACUUCAAAGGAUUCAAAUGAAGACAGAUCAGUCCUGUGAAUCAUGUACUAAUGAGAUCCUCAUCUUCCCUGAAGGAGGCUUCAUUUUAACUCCAAAGGUCUUGUCUGCUUAUUGGGUGGCCACUCGUCAGGGAGAACUUGUAAUGUGGAAUGCUGGUGCCUGGUAGAGAUUGCCUGGCAUUUGACCAGUCUGUUGUCAAGGCUUUUUAUGCAAAAGACGUGCCAGGAGAUUUAGCAGGAUGUGAAAAGUGCAAUGAUGCGGUGAGACUUGAUAAGCCUGGUGGUCCAUUGAGAGAUGAAAAUGAACAAUCGGUGGUUCCAGAGGUUCUUUGCCUUGCGUAGUUUUUCCUGAUGAAGCUCCGAGCAACAUUGUGCAACGAGUCUGAAGGCAAUGUCAAAGAGAUGCAAACCUAUUGGUAAAAUUGAGGAGGAUAUAUCCGCCACGAAUUCUGUUGUGGUUCACUAGAAGCUUACAUCAUGCCUUUCUGCUGCAAUCUCCUUGACUCCAUCAUCAAUAGUGAAUGAGAAAAAGAUGGAAUAGUGGUUGUAAAUUCUGACUGAGGAUGAUGUUGUGUGGGGGACAAUGGGUAGUGCCCGAAGAUAUGGUCCAAAAAAUUGAUGUUGAGGGGCUUCUCAUGUGCAGGAGAAGGCAGGCUGGUUUUUAAGAAUAUGGACCGUUUUUGUAGAAGUUUUAGGAUGUUUUUGAACAAUGCUAAGUUUAUUAUUAUGUAGUUAUUGUCAUUCUUUCUUUCUUGUAAAGAUGUGAUGUGAUCCGAAUAUAUGCAAGUUUUUUUUUAGCAGUAAUGUUAAACAUUUUGCUUGGAAUUCAACACGGAGAAUUGAUCUAAAAAA